AUUGAACGCUGGCGGCAGGCCUAACACAUGCAAGUCGAGCGGAUGAAGGGAGCUUGCUCCUGGAUUCAGCGGCGGACGGGUGAGUAAUGCCUAGGAAUCUGCCUGGUAGUGGGGGAUAACGUCCGGAAACGGGCGCUAAUACCGCAUACGUCCUGAGGGAGAAAGUGGGGGAUCUUCGGACCUCACGCUAUCAGAUGAGCCUAGGUCGGAUUAGCUAGUUGGUGGGGUAAAGGCCUACCAAGGCGACGAUCCGUAACUGGUCUGAGAGGAUGAUCAGUCACACUGGAAGUGAGACACGGUCCAGACUCCUACGGGAGGCAGCAGUGGGGAAUAUUGGACAAUGGGCGAAAGCCUGAUCCAGCCAUGCCGCGUGUGUGAAGAAGGUCUUCGGAUUGUAAAGCACUUUAAGUUGGGAGGAAGGGCAGUAAGUUAAUACCUUGCUGUUUUGACGUUACCAACAGAAUAAGCACCGGCUAAGUUCGUG
rnacentral:rRNA from 1 species